AUGGCGCAGCCGGAUGACGGCGACGAGGCACCAGAGCAAUCAACAUAUAUGGCAGCACAUCCAUCGGGACCUCCUCUGCCCACAUCUCCACUCAUGCAGUCGCCGUGGAACACAGUUCCACCAUGGACGAGCAGCGCAACAAGAAACGAUCGGGAGUUUCAAGAUGGAAAUAUGGCAGGCCAUCCAUCGGAACCUCCUCUACCCACACCUCCUCCACUGAUGCAAUCGCAGAACACAAUUCCACCGAGGAUGAGCAGCACAGCAAGGAACGAUCAGGAUUUGCAAGAUAAAAAUAUUGUUCCAAGAGUUGGGAAGACCUUUCAGUGUGAGGAAGAGGCAUAUCAGUUUUACAAUUCUUAUGCUCAAACCAAAGGAUUCAGCAUUAGGAAGUGCCACCUUAAGCAUAGAGGAGAUGGGACUUUAAGUUCUAGAUAUUUUGUUUGUAGCAAGGCAGGUGUGAAGGGCACUCAUCCGACACAUGUAUCCAAGAAAGAACAAACUAAUUCGAGAACUGAUUGCAUGGCUCGUGUUCAAUUCAGCAUCACUCGGGAGGGUAUUUGGAAUGUGCAGAAAGUCAUGCUCGAUCACAAUCAUCAGCUUGUAAGUCCAGAUAAGAGGCACAUGCUUAGAUCACAGCGUCAACUCUUAGAUGCCGAUCGCCAUAUGAUUAAGCAGAUGAGGACAUCGGGAAUUAAACAAGCUGAAAUAUAUGAUUUCUGUGAGCUUUGGUAUGGUAAAGAUGCGUACCCUUCUUGCAAGUGGAUUGCAACAAUUUUUUACGAAGUGAGCGCUCAAAGUAUUUGGAAACCAAAGAUGCUCAAACAUUAA
rnacentral:rRNA from 1 species